CCUACGGGAGGCAGCAGUGAGGAAUAUUGGACAAUGGGCGCAAGCCUGAUCCAGCCAUGCCGCGUGCAGGAAGAAGCAUCUAUGGUGUGUAAACUGCUUUUGUACAGGAAGAAACACUCCCUCGUGAGGGAGCUUGACGGUACUGUAAGAAUAAGGACCGGCUAACUCCGUGCCAGCAGCCGCGGUAAUACGGAGGGUCCGAGCGUUAUCCGGAAUCAUUGGGUUUAAAGGGUCCGUAGGCGGUUUAAUAAGUCAGUGGUGAAAUCUGGUCGCUCAACGAUCAAACGGCCAUUGAUACUGUUAGACUUGAAUUAUAAGGAAGUAACUAGAAUAUGUAGUGUAGCGGUGAAAUGCUUAGAUAUUACAUGGAAUACCAAUUGCGAAGGCAGGUUACUACUUAUGGAUUGACGCUGAUGGACGAAAGCGUGGGGAGCGAACAGGAUUAGAUACCCUGGUAGUCCACGCCGUAAACGAUGGAUACUAGCUGUUCGGAGCAAUCUGAGUGGCUAAGCGAAAGUGAUAAGUAUCCACCUGGGGAGUACGUUCGCAAGAAUGAAACUCAAAUGAAUUGACCGGNUAGAGACGAGCGAGACGACGACGAGGGAGGAGG
rnacentral:rRNA from 1 species